rnacentral:rRNA from 1 species
UACGAAGGGAGCUAGCGUUGUUCGGAAUCACUGGGCGUAAAGCGCACGUAGGCGGAUGUGUCAGUCAGGGUGAAUCCCGGAGCUCAACUUCGGAACUGCCUUGAUACAGCACGUCUUGAGUCCGAUAGAGGUGGUGGAAUUCCUAGUGUAGAGGUGAAUUCGUAGAUAUUAGGAAGAACACCAGUGGCGAAGGCGGCCAACUGCCGAUACUGACGCUCAUGUGCGAAAGCGUGGAGCAACAGG